rnacentral:misc_RNA from 1 species
UAUUUUAGUUUACAAUAUCGCAGUAUACAUUUUUCCUAACUGGACAACGUUAAACUCUACACCGUUACCUGCUGUUGGAAGCACAUGGAGUGGUAUACAUAAUGAUGAAAAUUAAACUAUUGAGUCGAAAUCCAGAUGAUUAUCUUCGAGAAACAAAAGAUGAUAUACGCAAAGUUGCCAGAAAUUUUGAUCCAAAAUUUCAUCCUUUUGAAGCAUCGCGCGAAUAUGUUCGUGCUUUGAAUGCUACUAAACUGGAACGAACCUUUGCCAAGCCAUUCAUCGGUUGCCUCGAAGGACAUAAAGAUGGUCUCAGUGUUUUGAAGAAACAUCCAACAUCGUUAUCAACUUUGUUGUCGGGAGCUCAUGAUGGAGAGGUAAAAGUAUGGAAUUUACCCACAAGAAAAUCUAUUUCAACAGUUCAGGCCCAUACUGGAGUUGUUAACAGCCUUUGCUUUCAUCCUAAAGGGAAAUAUUUUUUCACUUGUGGAAGGGACAAGACAAUCAAGCAGUGGAAUCUAGAUGAAGAAUUUCACAUUGAAGAAGACCCUACCAAUGUUAUUCUAGGACAAACUCUCUUUCAUGCCAUUGAUCAUCAUUGGAAAGACAAUAUCUUUGCUACUUGUGGAGAACAGGUUGACAUCUGGGAUGAAUCACGGGCAGAGCCUAUCCGUUCAUACAGCUGGGGCGUUGAUAGUGUCCAGUCAUUAAAAUUCAACCCAGUUGAGCAUCACCUUCUUGGAGCAACAGCUUGUGAUAGAUCAAUUAUACUUUAUGAUAUGAGAGGGACAGCCCCACUGAGAAAGGUUUUGCUUCAACUAAAAUCAAAUGCCUUAGCCUGGAAUCCCAUGGAACCUUUUGUUUUUACUGUUGCUAACGAAGAUUACAAUUUGUACAGUUUUGACAUGAGGAAGCUAUCUAAACCAACCAACAUCCAUGUGGACCAUGUGAAUGCUGUAAUUGAUGUUGACUACUGCCCAACGGGACGUGAAUUUGUCUCAGCUGGAUGGGACAAAUGCAUUCGAAUUUUUGCUUGCAACAUGGGUCACAGUAGAGAAGUCUACUUUACUAAAAGAAUGCAGAGGGUCCAGCAGGUCCAAUGGUCUUUGGAUAAUAAAUACAUCCUCUCUGGUUCAGAUGAGAUGAAUAUAAGAAUUUGGAAAGCACAAGCAUCAGAGAAACUUGGUCCUCUGAAACCGAGAGAAAAAGCUGCCUUUAAUUAUAAUGAGAAGCUAAAGGAGAAGUUUGGUCAUCAUCCAGAAAUAAAGAGAAUAGCUCGACAUCGACAUGUACCAAAAUUCAUCUACAGAGCUCGUAAAGAAAUUAAAACUAUGAAAGACUCUGAGAAACGAAAGGAGAAACAUAGGAAGAUUCAUUCCAAACCAGAAGAAGAAAAAUCAACCAGACAAAAAGUAGUUUUGAAUGUAAAGAAGUGAAUGUAGAGGUGGGUGUAAGAAGAAUGAAUGUAUAGGUGGGUGAAAAGGAGUGAAUGUAUAAUCUGUCAAAAAGAGUGAAAGUAUAGGCUGAUGCAAGUGUGUGUGUGUGGGUGUGUGUGUGUGUGUGUGUAUG